rnacentral:rRNA from 1 species
UGACGCGGGCUGGACCUCUCGGGGUUACAGCCUUGCUGAAUUAUUCACCCUUGUCUUUUGCGUACUUCUUGUUUCCUUGGUGGGUUCGCCCACCACUAGGACAAACAUAAACCUUUUGUAAUUGCAAUCAGCGUCAGUAACAAAUUAAUAAUUACAACUUUCAACAACGGAUCUCUUGGUUCUGGCAUCGAUGAAGAACGCAGCGAAAUGCGAUAAGUAGUGUGAAUUGCAGAAUUCAGUGAAUCAUCGAAUCUUUGAACGCACAUUGCGCCCUUUGGUAUUCCAAAGGGCAUGCCUGUUCGAGCGUCAUUUGUACCCUCAAGCUUUGCUUGGUGUUGGGCGUCUUGUCUCUAGCUUUGCUGGAGACUCGCCUUAAAGUAAUUGGCAGCCGGCCUACUGGUUUCGGAGCGCAGCACAAGUCGCACUCUCUAUCAGCAAAGGUCUAGCAUCCAUUAAGCCUUUUUUUCAACUUUUGACCUCGGAUCAGGUAGGGAUACCCGCUGAACUUAAGCAUAUCAAA